rnacentral:rRNA from 1 species
UACGUAGGGGGCAAGCGUUGUCCGGAUUUAUUGGGCGUAAAGAGUGUGUAGGCGGCCAGAUAGGUCCGUUGUGAAAACUCGAGGCUCAACCUCGAGAUGUCGAUGGAAACCGUCUGGCUAGAGUCCGGAAGAGGAGUGUGGAAUUCCUGGUGUAGCGGUGAAAUGCGCAGAUAUCAGGAAGAACACCUAUGGCGAAGGCAGCACUCUGGGACGGUACUGACGCUGAGACGCGAAAGCGUGGGGAGCGAACAGG